rnacentral:rRNA from 1 species
UUCCGGUUGAUCCUGCCGGACCUGACUGCUAUCGGAUUGAUACUAAGCCAUGCGAGUCUUUGUAGUAAUACAAGGCAUACGGCUCAGUAACGCGUAGUCAACCUACCCUAUGGACAAGAAUAAUCUCGGGAAACUGAGCAUAAUUCUUGAUAGAUCAUAAUGCCUGGAAUGGUUUAUGGUUAAAAUGAUUCGUCGCCAUAGGAUGGGACUGCGGCCUAUCAGCUUGUUGGUGAGGUAAUGGCCCACCAAGGCGAUUACAGGUACGGGCUCUGAGAGGAGAAGCCCGGAGAUGGGUACUGAGACAAGGACCCAGGCCCUAUGGGGCGCAGCAGGCGAGAAAACUUUGCAAUGUGCGAAAGCACGACAAGGUUAGUCCGAGUGAUUUCUGCUAAAGAGAUCUUUUGCUAGUUAUAAAACCACUAGUGAAUAAGGGGUGGGCAAGUUCUGGUGUCAGCCGCCGCGGUAAAACCAGCACCUCAAGUGGUCAGGAUGAUUAUUGGGCCUAAAGCAUCCGUAGCCGGCUCUGUAAGUUUUCGGUUAAAUCUAUGCGCUCAACGUAUGGGCUGCCGAAAAUACUGUAGAGAUAGGGAGUGGGAGAGGUAGACGGUACUCGGUAGGAAGGGGUAAAAUCCUUUGAUCUAUCGAUGACCACCUGUGGCGAAGGCGGUCUACCAGAACACGUUCGACGGUGAGGGAUGAAAGCUGGGGGAGCAAACCGGAUUAGAUACCCGGGUAGUCCCAGCUGUAAACGAUGCAGACUCGAUGAUGCAUUGGCAUAUAGCCAGUGCAGUGUCGCAGGGAAGCCGUUAAGUCUGCCGCAUGGGAAGUACGUACGCAAGUAUGAAACUUAAAGGAAUUGGCGGGGGAGCACCACAAGGGGUGAAGCCUGCGGUUCAAUUGGAUUCAACGCCGG